rnacentral:lncRNA from 1 species
GUUUCCUGAGCAGGCAGAGGUGCCAGGGAGCACGCAGGGUCGGAUGACGAUAGCGGUGUGCCUCAGAGGUAGGUUUCCGUCAGGCACAGGCUACCCUCCUGGUGUCAGAUGCCAGUUCUUCUGUGGUGAUAGGAGAUCUAGAAGGUCUGGCCUUUCCAGUGUCUCAGAAACCAGAAACACUUUCCAUUUCUGUUGAGUACAUGUAUUAAACUGUUUGAAUUCACUGUGGGCUGAAGGCUAUGUCAGGAUAGUCCUCUGAAUAUGCUUCUCACCGUAGAGCCGGGAGGGAGCACGUUAAACCAGAAUCGUUUUGAAGCUGUCUCUUCUUUUCCUAGGCCAGGCACAUCAUUGAGAAGUCUGUGCAAAAGAUCGUUUCCCUGCUGGCAGGAUUUGGGGAAACUGCUCAGAAACAUCUGUCAGAGAGAGCCAUGCUCACAGCACAUGACUGCCAUCAGGAGGCCGUGACCCACUUCCGCACACACUGCUUUAACUGGCACUCAGUCAUGGUGAGUCCCUGGCCAGGGUCCUCAAGUCUCCUGCCUCUGGGAUUGUGGUGCUUGACUAGGUGCACCGGCUUGGACCGAAAGAUUCUAUCUGGGCCUUGGGAAGUUGGAUGUCUAAUUCAUUGUCAUGUGUCUUGUCUACCACAGUCGUAGGUGACAGCCCCACUACUGUUGAAAGGUGCUUGCUUCUCUUGAUGAGGUGGCCCCACACCCCUCGCCGAUCCUCACAUCUCCAGACGUCUUCUUUCUUCCUCCUGAUGUCUCUUCUGUCCAUCCCCUAAGAUUUAUUGUUAGAGCACAGCCUAGAGAGUGAAGAAUGAUGUUUCGGCCAAUUGUAGAGUCAGUCAGCUAGUUGGUCCCUAAAAAGUCCCGUGCUUACCGUGGGAUGCUUGAAUCCUGCUGGAGGAAGGUGGGCAGACUGCGUCCUGUAGACCAAACCCUGGCAGAGCCUGGCUUUACACCUUUGUGGUCCAGCUUGGCGCUGGGCAGUGCUUUAUCAGCCUCACCAGCUCUGAGGGUGUGUGCGAUGUUCGUCUCUCCUGGGGAGACUGUGCGAAUACCUACAGAUUGCCGAAGUGACCUAAACAGACCUCGAAGUCCUGGCUGAAAUGGUUUUUCUCUGUGACUGAAGAAUCGAGGCAAGCUGACUGCGUGGUGAGGUGCUCACCUGCGGUUCUUUGUUUUCUUGCAGUACGAGCAUGCCUUGCGGUAUUUGUACGUGCUGGCCAACCUCUGUGAGAAGCCAUAUCCGAUUGACAG